rnacentral:misc_RNA from 1 species
CGCACAUUGCGCCCGCCAGUAUUCUGGCGGGCAUGCCUGUUCGAGCGUCAUUACAACCCUCAGGCCCCCCGGGGCCUGGCGUUGGGGAUCGGCGGAGGCCCUCUGCGGCACACGCCGUCCCCCAAAUACAGUGGCGGUCCCGCCGCAGCUUCCAAUGCGUAGUACCUAACGACGCAACUGGAGAGCGGCGCGGCCAAGCCGUAAAACACCCAACUUAUGAACGUUGACCUCGAAUCAGGUAGGAAUACCCGCUGAACUUAA